rnacentral:rRNA from 1 species
UACAGAGGUCUCAAGCGUUGUUCGGAUUCAUUGGGCGUAAAGGGUGCGUAGGCGGCGCGGUAAGUCGGGUGUGAAAUCUCGGAGCUUAACUUCGAAACUGCAUUCGAUACUGCCGUGCUUGAGGACUGGAGAGGAGACUGGAAUUUACGGUGUAGCGGUGAAAUGCGUAGAUAUCGUAAGGAAGACCAGUGGCGAAGGCGGGUCUCUGGACAGUUCCUGACGCUGAAGCACGAAGGUCAGGGGAGCAAACGGG